GGCCCCCUUCAUGGCUGGUUGGCCUUCUUCCUCACAUGUCUUCUCACAAGCAAUUCCUGGCCAAGAAAGGGAAGCAGGAUUUUGCAUUUCUUCUUAUGGAUUUUUAUGAAAAACGGGUGAUAAAAUCAAGUACAAUUCAGAAAUAGACAUUGGAGAAGAGCCAAGCAAACACUGCUUCAGGGGAACACUGCUCAUGGGGAACAUCCAACAGCUGAGAUAUCCUUCCAAACCUUCAGUUCCAUCUAUGAGAGCUUGGACAGCUCUCUUGAACUUCUGCAUUUCCUACCAGUCUCCAUGUGGUUUCUUCUUUAUUACCUAGCUCUUUUUGUGAUGCCAUGUGAGAAUUAAGAUGUGGGGAAGUGGAACAAGAAAUACUGAUGCUCUGACUCUGCAAUGACUCCAAAGGCCACCCACCAUCAACUUCAUGGAGAAGCACAAAGCCGAAGGAACAAGACCGCAUGUGUUUCUUUGUAUCAUAUAGUGACAAGGAUGUUCACAAUUGGAACUCAUCAUUAUUGAAAACGUGAAGGCUGAAAGAAGGGACAAAAUGUUUUUCCAAAACUGCCAUAAAGGAUCAUCUGAGGCAACUGCCCAGCAGGCGAUCAGAAGUGUGGAUCU